UACGGGAGGCAGCAGUGGGGAAUAUUGCACAAUGGGCGAAAGCCUGAUGCAGCUAUGCCGCGUGUAUGAAGAAGGCCUUAGGGUUGUAAAGUACUUUCAUCGGGGAGGAAAAACAAAACUAAUAAUUUUAUUUCUUGACGUUACCCGAAAAAGAAGCACCGGCUAACUCCGUGCCAGCAGCCGCGGUAAUACGGAGGGUGCUAGCGUUAAUCAGAAUUACUGGGCGUAAAGAGCACGUAGGUGGUUUUUUUAAGUCAGAUGUGAAAUCCCUGGGCUUAACCUAGGAACUGCAUUUUGAAACUGAAAUACUAGAGUAUCGUAGAGGGAGGUAGAAUUCUAGGUGUAGCGGUGAAAUGCGUAGAUAUCUGGAGGAAUACCUGUGGCGAAAGCGGCCUCCUAAACGAAUACUGACACUGAGGUGCGAAAGCGUGGGGAGCAAACAGGGAUUAGAUACC
rnacentral:rRNA from 1 species